rnacentral:rRNA from 1 species
GAUGAACGCUAGCUACAGGCUUAACACAUGCAAGUCGAGGGGAAACGACAUCGAAAGCUUGCUUUUGAUGGGCGUCGACCGGCGCACGGGUGAGUAACGCGUAUCCAACCUGCCCAUCACUUGGGAAUAACCUUGCGAAAGUAAGACUAAUACCCAAUGACAUCCCACGAAGACAUCUGAAUGGGAUUAAAGAUUUAUCGGUGAUGGAUGGGGAUGCGUCUGAUUAGCUUGUUGGCGGGGUAACGGCCCACCAAGGCAACGAUCAGUAGGGGUUCUGAGAGGAAGGUCCCCCACAUUGGAACUGAGACACGGUCCAAACUCCUACGGGGGGCAGCAGUGAGGAAUAUUGGUCAAUGGGCGAGAGCCUGAACCAGCCAAGUAGCGUGCAGGAUGACGGCCCUAUGGGUUGUAAACUGCUUUUAUAAGGGAAUAAAGUGGGUCUCGGGAGACUUUUUGCAUGUACCUUAUGAAUAAGGACCGGCUAAUUCCGUG